rnacentral:rRNA from 1 species
CAUGGCAAGUUCGCACGGGUAUUGUGGCUUCGGCUUGGUGCAGUGGCGGACGGGUGACCNUUUNANUAGGGAUUUAUCGGUUGGGUGGGGGAUAACUGCGGGAAACUGCGGCUAAUACCGCAUGACGCCUGAGGGCCAAAGCCUCUGUGAGGGGGUGCCUGAUGAGGAGCCUGCGUCCGAUUAGCUAGUAGGUUGGGUAAUGGCUGACCUAGGCUGUGAUCGGUAGCUGGUCUGAGAGGAUGAUCAGCCACACUGGGACUGAGACACGGCCCAGACUCCUACGGGAGGCAGCAGUGGGGAAUAUUGGACAAUGGGCGCAAGCCUGAUCCAGCAAUGCCGCGUGGAUGAAGAAGGUCUUCGGAUUGUAAAGUCCUUUCGGCGGGGACGAUGAUGACGGUACCCGCAGAAGAAGCCCCGGCUAACUUCGUGCCAGCAGCCGCGGUAAUACGAAGGGGGCUAGCGUUGCUCGGAAUGACUGGGCGUAAAGGGCGCGUAGGCGGGUGUGCCAGUCGGGCGUGAAAUUCCUGGGCUUAACCUGGGGGCUGCGUUCGAGACGGCAUGCCUAGAGUGGGGAAGAGGGUCGCGGAAUUCCCAGUGUAGAGGUGAAAUUCGUAGAUAUUGGGGAAGAACACCGGUGGCGAAAGCGGCGACCCUGGUCCUUGAACUGACGCCUGAAGGCGCGAAAGCGUGG